rnacentral:rRNA from 1 species
AUCUAUAGCCAUACCACCCUGAAUGCACCCAAUCUCAUCAGAUCUUGGAAGCUAAGCAGGGUUGGGCCUGGUUAGUACUUGGAAGGAAGACUGUCCAGGAAUACCAGGUGCUGUAGGCU